rnacentral:sRNA from 1 species
UCCUAAACCUGAUAGCAGUGGAAAUACUUUUUAAUUGCAGCAACCUUAAAUAUCAUGUGAUGCUGAGGCACGAAGCAUCUGGAACCGAUGAAAAUGGAUCUUCAUUCUUCUGCAGGACAGGAGUUUUAAAAAGAUUGGAACGAAUAGCAGGACUGCAA